rnacentral:misc_RNA from 1 species
GAUGAAGAACGUAGCGAAAUGCGAUAAGUAGUGUGAAUUGCAGAAUUCAGUGAAUCAUCGAAUCUUUGAACGCACAUUGCGCCCCUUGGUAUCCCGAGGGGCAUGCCUGUUCGAGCGUCAUUUCACCACUCAAGCCUGGCUUGGUGUUGGGCGACGUCCCCUUUGGGGACGCGCCUCGAAACGCUCGGCGGCGUGGCACCGGCUUUAAGCGUAGCAGAAUCUUUCGCUUUGGAAGUCGGGGCCCCGUCCGCCGGAAGACCUACUCGCAAGGUUGACCUCGGAUCAGGCAGGGAUACCCGCUGAACUUAAGCAUAUCAAUAAGCGGAGGA